UACGGGGGGGGCAAGCGUUGUUCGGAAUUACUGGGCGUAAAGGGCUCGUAGGCGGCCAACUAAGUCAGACGUGAAAUCCCUCGGCUUAACCGGGGAACUGCGUCUGAUACUGGAUGGCUUGAGUUUGGGAGAGGGAUGCGGAAUUCCAGGUGUAGCGGUGAAAUGCGUAGAUAUCGUAAGGAAGACCAGUGGCGAAGGCGGGUCUCUGGACAGUUCCUGACGCUGAGGCAGCGA
rnacentral:rRNA from 1 species